rnacentral:rRNA from 1 species
CCUACGGGGUGCAGCAGUGGGGAAUAUUGCACCAUGGAGGAAACCCUGAUGCAGCGACGCCUCGUGAGUGAAGAAGUAUUUCGGUACGUAAAGCUCUAUCAGCCGGGAAGAAAAUGACGGUACCUGACCAAGAAGCCCCGGCUAACUACGUGCCAGCAGCCGCGGUAAUACGUCGGGUGCCAGCGUUAUCCGGAUUUACUGGGUGUAAAGUGAGCGUAGACGGCAGCGCAAGUCUGGAGUGCAAUGCCUGGGCCCAACCCCGGAACUGCUUUGGAAACUGUGCAGCUGGAGUGCAGGAGAGGUAAGCGGAAUUCCUAGUGUAGCGGUGAAAUGCGUAGAUAGUAGGAGGAACACCAGUGGCGAAGGCGGCUUACUGGACUGUAACUGACGUUGAGGCUCGAAAGCGUGGGGAGCAAACAGGAUUAGAGACCCCUGUAGUC